GACGAACGCUGGCGGCGUGCUUAACACAUGCAAGUCGAACGGAAAGGCCCUGCUUUUGUGGGGUGCUCGAGUGGCGAACGGGUGAGUAACACGUGAGUAACCUGCCCUUGACUUUGGGAUAACUUCAGGAAACUGGGGCCAAUACCGGAUAGGAGCUCCUGCUGCAUGGUGGGGGUUGGAAAGUUUCGGCGGUUGGGGAUGGACUCGCGGCUUAUCAGCUUGUUGGUGGGGUAGUGGCUUACCAAGGCUUUGACGGGUAGCCGGCCUGAGAGGGUGACCGGCCACAUUGGGACUGAGAUACGGCCCAGACUCCUACGGGAGGCAGCAGUGGGGAAUAUUGCACAAUGGGCGGAAGCCUGAUGCAGCAACGCCGCGUGCGGGAUGACGGCCUUCGGGCUGUAAACCGCUUUCGCCUGUGACGAAGCGUGAGUGACGGUAAUGGGUAAAGAAGCACCGGCUAACUACGUG
rnacentral:rRNA from 1 species